rnacentral:rRNA from 1 species
GGCUUAGAGUUUGAUCAUGGCUCAGGAUGAACGCUGGCGGCGUGCCUAACACAUGCAAGUCGAGCGAAGCACUUUGCUUUGAAUCUUUCGGGAGGACGAGUGAUUUGACUGAGCGGCGGACGGGUGAGUAACGCGUGGGCAACCUGCCUCACACAGGGGGAUAACAGUUAGAAAUGACUGCUAAUACCGCAUAAGGCCACAGCACCGCAUGGUGCAGGGGUAAAAACUCCGGUGGUGUGAGAUGGGCCCGCGUCUGAUUAGGUAGUUGGUGAGGUAACGGCUCACCAAGCCGACGAUCAGUAGCCGACCUGAGAGGGUGACCGGCCACAUUGGGACUGAGACACGGCCCAAACUCCUACGGGAGGCAGCAGUGGGGAAUAUUGCGCAAUGGGGGAAACCCUGAUGCAGCGACGCCGCGUGAGCGAUGAAGUAUUUCGGUAUGUAAAGCUCUAUCAGCAGGGAAGAAACUGACGGUACCUGACUAAGAAGCACCGGCUAAAUGCGUGCCAGCAGCCGCGGUAAUACGUAUGGUGCAAGCGUUAUCCGGAUUUACUGGGUGUAAAGGGAGCGUAGACGGACUUGCAAGUCUGAAGUGAAAGCCCGGGGCUCAACCCCGGGACUGCUUUGGAAACUGUAGGUCUAGAGUGCUGGAGAGGUAAGUG